rnacentral:rRNA from 1 species
GACGAACGCUGGCGGCGUGCCUAACACAUGCAAGUCGAACGGAGAAUUCAGCAAUGGAUUCUUAGUGGCGAACGGGUGAGUAACGCGUAGACAACCUGCCUUCUAGAUGGGGACAACACCGCGAAAGUGGUGCUAAUACCGAAUGUCCUAUGAGAGCCGCAUGGCUAUCAUAGCAAAGGUGGCCUCUGAAUAAGCUACCGCUAGAAGAUGGGUCUGCGUCUGAUUAACUAGUUGGUGAGGUAACGGCUCACCAAGGCGACGAUCAGUAGCCGGUCUGAGAGGCUGAACGGCCACACGGGGACUGAGACACGGCCCAGACUCCGACGGGAGGCAGCAGUGGGGAAUCUUCCGCAAUGGACGAAAGUCUGACGGAGCAACGCCGCGUGAGUGAAGAAGGCCUUCGGGUUGUAAAGCUCUGUUAUUCGGGAAGAACGUUCUCUAUGUGAAUAAUGUGGAGAAGUGACGGUACCGAAGGAGGAAGCCACGGCUAACUACGUGCCAGCCGCCGCAGUAA